rnacentral:snRNA from 2 species
AGCUUUGCGCAGUGACAUUACCGUAGCUGAUGAGGUCCAUCCGAGGCGCCAUUAUUGCAGAUUAAAAAAAUUUUCCCAAUACCCCGCGAGACGACUUGAAACAUAGUCGGCUUUGCAAUUUUUGUGGGCCCUGCUUAGGG